rfam:Lactobacillus ceti DSM 22408 NODE_34, whole genome shotgun sequence.
GCGGAAGUAGUUCAGUGGUAGAACAUCACCUUGCCAAGGUGGGGGUCGCGGGUUCGAAUCCCGUCUUCCGCU